CGAUGGUACGCCUUAGAUGCGGCCAGAGAUUAACGGAUAUAAGUUACCCUGGGGAUAACAGGCUAGUUCCGCCCAAGCGUCCAUAGCGACGGCGGAGUUCGGCACCUCGAUGUCGGCUCACCUUAGCGCGGGGCUGGAGAAAACACACCUUCUCUCCCUAUCGGAAACGAUAGGGUAAUUAAACAAGCUCAAAACGGUGAAGGCUGACUCAUGCACCGCGACCUCAUGUUUCGGAGGUCCCAAGUCUGGUAGACUUGAUGUAUGAGAGCUAACGCCGUGGGAAAGGGUUGUUCUGAAGUUGAACGGGCAUAUAUUGCCGGUUUUCUUGAUGCGGAUGGCGCCGUUAUGGCGUGCAUCGAAAAGCACAAAGGAAAACGGUUUGGAUUUCGUGUGCGUGUUGCGCUCAAAGUAACGCAACACGAGCGCAAAAUCUUGGAUUGGAUACAACGCAUGACACAUGCUGGAAAUGUGAGGGCAAAUCGUCCUGACGAUAUUCGUCAGACAUACGAUUUGCUCAUCCGCGACCGCAGUGACGUGCGAGCAGUCUUGCAGUUGUUACUGCCGUACUUGCGCGCGAAGCGCAAGCAAGCGCAGAUGGCACUUAAAAUUCUUGAUCAUGAGGUCAAGAGCGAGACAGAUCUAAUUCGAAAUGCCCGUUUGGCAGAUGCUUUGUCGCGGUUCAAUGUUCGGUCCAAAAACCGGCGGAAGAACUUUGUGAUAAAGAUCCAAGAACAUCUCUCCCCUAACGACUGAUUGUAAUUCUUUUGGGAAUUGCAUGAGAUAUGCCCGCAGUAAGCGGCGGGGUAUCACACGGCUUGCAUCUACGAUUGUAGUGGUGACAUUACAACUAUGAUGAUGGAAUAGUCUGAUACUCGCAGGAAUGCGAGAGAACAAAGAAAUGAGGUCCCAAGCGUUUGGCUGUUCGCCAAUUAAAAAGGUACGCGAGCUGGGUUCAAACCGUGCAGGAGAGCAGGUUCUAGGAAGUUAGUCGUUAGGCUUUAGCGAAUUGCUAGUGCCUAGUGCCUAGUUUCCUGGUCUUUUGCACCCGUUUGAAUCCCUUUGAGUUUCUGUUAUCAGAACCCAAUAAAGUGAAUGUUUUUUCGUCUAAAACAAAUAAAAAAAGCCCCGACGUAAAAAGUCGGGGUCCCGACCAAAGCGUCGGGAAUAAGAGACAACAAUGACACGGCGAUGUAUUGCAGGAAUGUAAUACAUACCAUCAACUUAUAUCGGUGAAGUCCCGCGAGGGAUAACACCGAGGGAAGCUCAGAAUGUGCUACUAUAGAAGUAUGGGAGCAUAAAUAUUUGAGUGCCCGUAGAGACUGAAUGUUGAUUGCCCAGAACGGGCAAAGUUACAGUCCGAUGCACGCAGUAAUGCGUGGAAACAUGCGUGAGACAGGUUGGUCUCCUAUCUACUACAGGCGUUGAUUCUUGAGGAGGGUUGUCCCUAGUACGAGAGGACCGGGAUGAACUGACCUCUGGUCUACCAGCUGUUCUGCCAAGAGCAUCGCUGGGUAGCUAUGUCGGGUUGCGAUAACCGCUGAAAGCAUAUAAGCGGGAAGCGUGCUCCAAGAUUAGGAAUCGUUAUGAGAC
rnacentral:rRNA from 1 species